rnacentral:rRNA from 1 species
AGUGAACGCUGGCGGUAGGCCUAACACAUGCAAGUCGAACGGCAGCACAGUAAGAGCUUGCUCUUACGAGUGGCGAGUGGCGGACGGGUGAGGAAUACAUCGGAAUCUACUUUUUCGUGGGGGAUAACGUAGGGAAACUUACGCUAAUACCGCAUACGACCUACGGGUGAAAGCAGGGGAUCUUCGGACCUUGCGCGAUUGAAUGAGCCGAUGUCGGAUUAGCUAGUUGGCGGGGUAAAGGCCCACCAAGGCGACGAUCCGUAGCUGGUCUGAGAGGAUGAUCGGCCACACUGGAACUGAGACACGGUCCAGACUCCUACGGGAGGCAGCAGUGGGGAAUAUUGGACAAUGGGCGCAAGCCUGAUCCAGCCAUACCGCGUGGGUGAAGAAGGCCUUCGGGUUGUAAAGCCCUUUUGUUGGGAAAGAAAAGCAGCAGGUUAAUACCCCGCUGUUCUGACGGUACCCAAAGAAUAAGCACCGGCUAACUUCGUG